UUAUGGCUCAGGAUGAACGCUAGCGACAGGCUAACACAUGCAAGUCGAGGGCAGCAUAAAAGUAGCAAUACUUGGUGGCGACCGGCGCACGGGUGAGUAACGCGUAUGCAACCUACCUAUCAGAGGGGAAUAACCCGGCGAAAGUCGGACUAAUACCGCAUAAAACAGGGACACCGCAUGGUGAUAUUUGUUAAAGAAAUUCGCUGAUAGAUGGGCAUGCGUUCCAUUAGGUAGUUGGUGAGGUAACGGCUCACCAAGCCGACGAUGGAUAGGGGAACUGAGAGGUUGGUCCCCCACACUGGUACUGAGACACGGACCAGACUCCUACGGGAGGCAGCAGUGAGGAAUAUUGGUCAAUGGGCGAGAGCCUGAACCAGCCAAGUCGCGUGAAGGAAGAAAGGAUCUAUGGUUCGUAAACUUCUUUUGCAGGGGAAUAAAGUGCAGGACGUGUCCUGUUUUGUAUGUACCCUGAGAAUAAGGAUCAGCUAACUCCGUGCCAGCAGCAGC
rnacentral:rRNA from 1 species